AAACGCCCGCGGCCCGGGCGCCGCCGCCUCCUCUCCCUUCCUCUCUCCUCAGGAGACGCCCGGCGGGGCGACCCCUCCCACCAGGACCCGGGCACCCGGAGGAGCGAGGGGGCGAAGGCCUCACCUUUUGGGGGGCGGGUCCGGGAUGGGGGGACUGAGCCUCCCUCUCUCUCUCUCCUCCCUGGGGACUUUCCUCGACCCCCAUCUCCUGGGUAUCCCCCGUUUCAAUCUGCCGCCCAGGGUGACCCCACCCCUGCUCUCCCGCAGGUAUUCCACGUGUCCAUAGCAUUUACGUCAUAAUGACCUGGCCGACAGGUGGGAGCCGCAGCGAGCGCUCCAGGGUUCCCUCCGUGCUGUGCGUGGUGCGUCCUCCUUGCUUCCACGUAAGAUUUCUGUGGCUUUAGGAAAGAGGAGACUUCAUGACUUCCGUGCUAAGAAAAGUUACAGAGGCCUGUGUCUGGAAAUUAACUUUGAGCUUAAAGGAAAAAGGCUGUGUCAAACAACAACAACAACAACAACUGUGCCAAGGUGAAAACUUGGUGAAACAUCAUGGAUGCUGAAAGUGGCUUCGAAGACAAUGUCUAACAGUGAACAGAUAAGUGAUACAAGCCCUAUCUGGUCAACAUGGCACUGAAAUUCCUUGGGCUCCCAGAGAGUUUAAGGCUUCAAUGAAGAGAGGAGGUUUAUUUUAUACUGAAGAGUGAAACCAGCAUACCAGCUUAGAUUUUUGGGUAAAUAACACCCCACCUCUUCACCCCCAGUAUCAAUCCAUUGGAACUUCUGCAAGAAAAGUAUUGGUGAGAGCAUCAAAAUGGGACAUUCACUGUAGGUAGAGAACUUUGUCAUGUGCCAUCUGGUAUAAUCCUGCUUUUUUUUUUUUUUUUUUUUUAUAAUCCUGCUUUUGACUAGGAACUGUGCUGGGGUUUGGGCAAACCUCAGCCCAGAGUUCAGAGCUGUGCCUCUGGCCUCAUUUUUGAGACUAUGUCCCCUAUAGCAGACAUACAGCUAAUGAUCCCUGAAAGGGUCACUCUCUGGUAAGGAAUAGGACUUAACUGAAAGAUUAGGAUGGAACUUUCUAGGUCUUUGGUCUUCCUUUUCCCUCUCCAGAGGGACAGUUUAAAAAAAUCACUACCAACCCUGUUGCAGAUAGUUAAGGUAAUUCAGGUGAAGCAUUGGCUAAACAUUUGGUUUAAUCAUGGGGUAAGCGGCUGAAUCAGGACUAUAAACCAUAUUUCGUAACUCCCAAUCAAAUGCACUUUUCCUCUUCUAGUUUUAACUCUGUCACUAACUUGCUUUGGCAGAGACUGUUAAUCAUUUCCCAAUAUUUAUUCUACCCUUUUCCCACAGUAAUGUAAAUUUCAGCUGAGUGUACAUUGUUGCCCAGAUUAAGACUAUUUUCUAGCUUCCCUGGCUUCCGGGUGUGGUCAUGUGACCAGGCUCUAGCCAAUAGGAUAUGACUGAAAGACACAUUUGUAACUUUUGGGUCAUGCUUUUGAAAGAAACACACCCUCACCUUUGUCUUGCCCCUUUCCCACUGGUUGGAUCACCUUUGGCCAUGAAGGGGAAGGCAAUAUAUUGGGGAUGGCCAGAAACUUGCCACCUGAUCUGCCAUACUGCUCUGGUCUUCCUGCCUGGGUUGUUUUAUGAGAAGGAAAUAAAGUUCAAUAUUAUUUAAGCCACUAUUUAAGUGGCCUAAAUAAUGGGAUAUUAUUUUAAGUAAAUGGGAUAUUAUUACAACCCAGCCUUUAUCCUAAUUAAUCCAUCUACUCCAUGAUGUUGGAUUAGAUCUUCAUUUUUUAUGAAGUUUAUAUUCCAAAACAAUGAUUCUCAAUCUGUGGGUCACAGGGCCUCUGAGGGCCAUUGGUGUUAAUAUAAAGGAUCAUGGGAUACAAAUCUCUAACAAGUAAUGUCUGUAGACAAAAACCCCUCCUUGAGAAAUAAAGAUAGCAAUUUUGAAAUACAUAUGAUGUGAUUGUAAAACAAAAUCAUUAGUGAAUUUCUUGGAAUGCAGGUAUGUUGGUAAUGGAUCAUUUAGCUUAGUACGUCUGAAAAAGUCUAUUUCACCUUUGUUUUUGAAAUAUUUUUUCACGGGUAAAGAACUCGAGAUGACUUUUUUUUUGGAACUUUAAAGAUGUUGCUGUGUUUGAGUUUACAUUGUUUCAAACAUAAAAUCUGAUCUUUA